UAUCGAUUAAUACUUAGAAAUGUUUGUUACAUACUAUUAAACAGUACUAUACAAUGUAAAAUCUACGUUAACAAACAACCCAUAAUAAUUCUCUCCAAUUACAUUGACAAACAAAGGUCAAUAGAUACGAUAUUAUUACUGGAAAAUAAAUAUGCUUGAAGAUAAGAGAGGUGAUAGGUGUAAAGGACUGUGGUUGGGAUGAAACCCUGAGGGGUAGUUCAAUGGUCAAGGCUUCGGGUUUGUUCUCCAAUAGUCACCAGUUCGAGUCUCUUCAGGGCCAUUGAGAUGAAUACCCGAUUGUAAACAUCAGAGCCCCGUUGGAUUAGUAGAGGUGCUCGAAAGCUGGUCCGGACACUCAUGGUCAUAAAAAAAAAAAAAAAAAAAAACUGUGGUUGGGAUGAAAAUGCAAAACAAGGCAGCAUAUGUAGACUCCACAUGUCAAUGUGUUACAUUGAACAUACGAAACUAAUAAAUGUGUGUUUUUGGCAGAAACUACUGAAUACGAAGAAUACUAAAACGGUAAACGGAAUGGGAUCAAACGCUUUCGGCUCCAAGGCACCAGUAAAAGCUAUUGCUUCGAUUAAUUUUUUUUAGAUGUAUUACCAUUCUGUUGCUGCUGCUAACGUGAUUGGAACAUCGAGGGGUUAAGUGAAAGCUGCUGGAAUUUGUACGGAUCUCCACUCAGUUCAGCAGUAGCAAUCUUCAAACGUUGUAUCUCCCCUGUUAAUGCUUCAUUUAAAGCUGGCAUAAAAAGAAAAAAACUGUUAAAUUCCGCCACAUAGCAACUGCAGAAACUUGAUGGCAUCGAAAUAUAUAGUAACAAAUCAGAUGAGCAUUUUACCCACAGCCCCAACCAACACAGGUGCACAACAAAUAAAGAGGGACCAAGACCUGAAGCAGGCAGUCUAGUAGAUUUAGAAAACUUUUUAAGUUUAAAUUCCAGUGAGCAAGUAAAGCUAAGUAAAAUCAUAAAAUAAUUAAGAUCAAUCUCAAUAUUGCACGAAUGAAAUUUAAGUGUAUUACCCAUAAGAUAUCCAAGGAGGGAGCAUGCAUGUCUGAAUAGGUGGGGUGGCUAUAGUUGGAGUCUGCUUACAAAGAUGAUUAAUGUAGGAAAUUGAAGGAAACAACUACACUUAAUGGUAGUAAAUUGAAGUAGCAAAAAGAGUGAUUACGUUCUGCAUAUGACCUUGGGCGAAAGAAGUUCCAUUUUUAUGAGUGUUGCUUGGCUGGACAGAGGUUACACGUGGGGGUGAUCAUGGAUGUAUACUAUUUGCAAUUUUGAUGGUUCAUAUUCAUCUGCUGUACAUUGGUAUCCCUUAUUCCAAUGAUUUCCAAAUGAAUAUGUGAAAACCGGACUCAUCUGUGUGGACGGGUGCCUGAUAGGAA
rnacentral:lncRNA from 1 species